UCUUGUUUUUAUUUAUUUAUUAUGACUGUACAAAUGUGAGUGGAAGAUAUCAAUUAUGCAGCAUUGAAAUAAUUUAGCAGAAAACAUAGAUGCUCAAUCAAACAUACUCAUCAUAAAACUUAAAUAAAAAAAACACAAAAUCUGGCUAAAGGAAAACAUUUAUUCUAUAGGAUUUUGUCUUUGCUUUAAAAUGAAACAAAUGACAAAGUAAUGUGAAACUAUUAUUUUAAAAGCCAAAAUCAUUAACUUCACAAUAAAUGUUUUAAAUAUCAUAGAACAUACUCAUUACAUAAAAAUGACAGUUUUAGAUGAAAUGAAAUGUUUCAAUACAUUGCAAUAUUAAAUUUAAGAUUUCAAAUUCAUAAGCAAAUGAUUAAACAUGGAAUGCUUCAAACUCAAGAUCAUUGACAUGACAUUUUUAUUUAAAAAUUUGUUUUUCUAUUUCUAACCAAGCAUAAAUGAAAACUGCUCAAGAAACAUCAACACUGCAUUCCACAAUUAAAAAUCAAGACACACACAAUUUUUGAAAUAAAAAAAAUGGUAGCUACUUGAAAUAUUCAUAUAAAAUAAUAUAAAUAAAUAAAAAUUUAUAGUGGGUUUUAUUUCCAAUUAAAACCAUCUUUGCAUAUCAAAUGUUCAAGAUACAAAACUUUAAAUCAUUUCACACCUAGCUCCAAAUACACUUUUGUCAUGAGUCCACUGUAACAUUUCACUAAAACACUUAUUAGAACUAUAAACUGCAUGGGAGGAAAAAAAUUAACAUUCAAACAGCAGUUUGGGAAUAAAUUCAAUUUCGUUUAGCUUAGAAAAGUUAUAUUGACUGGAGGUUUAAUAAGGGUUAAGUUAAUGGUCUUCCUGGCAAGUUUGGUAAACUAAUGACUCCAAUAGCUCAGAAAGUCUUUUUAUGUUCUAGUGUUAACAUACCAAAUACUAUUGUGCUUUUAUGAAAUCUUAUAGUGUGUUUUUAAUUGGUUGUUUACCAUACUUCAAACUUACAGCUGUAUGUUUAUUUAAUUACUUUGCUUUUAGUUUUGAAGAGCUAUAUUGGAUUUUAAUACUUGGUUGUUCAAUAUAAAUGGAAAAAAUAAAUUUUACAAUAAAAUAUGUGAAGAAUAUAUUGUCAUAAUUUAAAAACUGAAACAGACAAAAGUCAAAACACACACUAAUAUGCAUAGCAUUAACAUACAAACAUUAUUUCUUUACAAUGCAUAUAUAAUUAUUACAGUUGAUAAAUGUAACAUAGGAUGGCAAAUUAUUCUGAAAGAAUAAAUGUAAAACAAUUACUGCUUUAUAAAUACAAAGAUAAAGGACAUUUAUUUUAACAUGCUAAGAAGUGUCCCUUUCUAGCCUAUUUAAAACCCUAUACAAUUUUUUUUUCAAUCAGUUACCCUUUAUAGCUGGAUGGAAAUACCACCUUCACUUUUUGGGUUGUACAAUGCUAUGAAUACAUUUUUAAAUACGCAUAGAGCAUUGACUGUAAGUUAAAGAAAAACAAAAGGUCUGUAUUUUAAAAAAAUCAUUGAAAUGUCGUGAAGACGUUUGUAAAGAAUGUAUAAUAUUGGAAAAAUAAUAAUUAUCACAAUGUAUUCUUUUACACACAUACACAA